AACACAUGCAAGUCGAGGGGCAGCAUGGUCUUAGCUUGCUAAGGCCGAUGGCGACCGGCGCACGGGUGAGUAACACGUAUCCAACCUGCCGUCUACUCUUGGACAGCCUUCUGAAAGGAAGAUUAAUACAAGACGGCAUCAUGAGUUCGCAUGUUCACAUGAUUAAAGGUAUUCCGGUAGACGAUGGGGAUGCGUUCCAUUAGAUAGUAGGCGGGGUAACGGCCCACCUAGUCUUCGAUGGAUAGGGGUUCUGAGAGGAAGGUCCCCCACAUUGGAACUGAGACACGGUCCAAACUCCUACGGGAGGCAGCAGUGAGGAAUAUUGGUCAAUGGGCGCAGGCCUGAACCAGCCAAGUAGCGUGAAGGAUGACUGCCCUAUGGGUUGUAAACUUCUUUUAUAAAGGAAUAAAGUCGGGUAUGUAUACCCGUUUGCAUGUACUUUAUGAAUAAGGAUCGGCUAACUCCGUGCCAGCAGCCGCGGUAAUACGGAGGAUCCGAGCGUUAUCCGGAUUUAUUGGGUUUAAAGGGAGCGUAGAUGGAUGUUUAAGUCAGUUGUGAAAGUUUGCGGCUCAACCGUAAAAUUGCAGUUGAUACUGGAUAUCUUGAGUGCAGUUGAGGCAGGCGGAAUUCGUGGUGUAGCGGUGAAAUGCUUAGAUAU
rnacentral:rRNA from 1 species